AUUGAACGCUGGCGGCAGGCUUAACACAUGCAAGUCGAGCGAGAGGCGGACGGGUUAGUAAUGUCUGGGAAACUGACUGAAGGAGGGGGAUAACUACUGGACACGGAAACUAAUUACGCAUAGCAUCAGAUGAGCCCAGGUGGGAUUUGCUAGUAGGUGGGGUCACGGCUCACCUCGGCGACGAACUCUAGCUGGUCUGAGAGGAUGACCAGCCACACUGGAACGGAGACACGGUCCAGACUCCUACGGGAGGCAGCAGUGGGGAAUAUUGCACAAGGGGCGCAAGCCUGAUGCAGCCAUGCCGCGUGUGUGAAGAAGGCCUUCGGGUUGUAAAGCACUUUCAGCGAGGAGGCGUUACUCGCAGAAGAAGCACCGGCUAACUCCGUGCCAGCAGCCGCGGUAAUAC
rnacentral:rRNA from 1 species